rnacentral:rRNA from 1 species
CCUACGGGUGGCAGUAGUGGGGAAUAUUGGACAAUGGGGGAAACCCUGAUCCAGCAAUGCCGCGUGUGUGAAGAAGGCCUGCGGGUUGUAAAGCACUUUCGGUUGGGAAGAAAAGUUUGGCGCCAAUACCGCCGAACCUUGACGUUACUGACAGAAGAAGCACCGGCUAACUCUGUGCCAGCAGCCGCGGUAAUACAGAGGGUGCAAACGUUGAUCGGAGUGUGUGGGCGUGGAGCUGCCGUAGGUGUGCGAAAUCCCCGGGCUUAACCUGGGAACUGCAUUCGAUACUACAUGGCUAGAGUAUGGUAGAGGGAGGUGGAAUUUCCGGUGUAGCGGUGAAAUGCGUAGAUAUCGGAAGGAACACCAAUGGCGAAGGCAGCUUCCUGGACUAAUACUGACACUGAGGCACGAAAGCGUGGGUAGCAAACAGGAUUAGAUACCCGAGUAGUC